rnacentral:ncRNA from 1 species
AGAAAGUUUUAUUUCAGCUUUUUAUUUUGGUAUAUAUUUUUUUCUAUAUGUAAAUUUUAGUAUGCAUUAAGUAUCUAUUAAGAUCUUGUAUUUUUAUUUAAAUAAUAAAUUUAGUAUAAAUAAUUCAUUUAAGAUAAAUUCGCAAUAGUGAGAUUUUGUACCAUAAAGGAGAUUUUGAUAAAAAAAUAUAUAAGAGCAUUGGUUAAAUUUGUGCCAGCCUCCGCGGUUAAACAGGUGAUGCUUUUGAAUUUGGUUUAAUUUUGUAGUUAGUAAGAUUUAUUUUUAAUUUAAAAUUAAGUUUAAUGAGUGAAAUCAGAUAUUUAAAUAAAAUUAAAUUUUUGAAAUUAUGUACUACGAGAUUUUGUAUAUUAAACUAGGAUUAGAUACCCUAUUAUAAAAAAUGUAAAUUUAAAGUAUUAGAUUAGUAUUAGUUAUGUUCUUCAAAUUCAAGAGAAUUGGCGGUAUUUUAGUCUAUUCAGAGGAACCUGUCCUAUAAUUGAUGAUCCACGAUUAAUCAUACUUGAUUUAAUAGUUUGUAUAUCGUCGUCAGUUGAAUUUCUUUAAAAAGAUCAGGAAUAUUCAUAAUAUAUAAUUAAUAAAGUAGAUCAGAUCAAGAUACAGCGUAUAGUUAAGGAGAGAUGGGUUACAAUAAUUUUAUUUAGGAUGGUUAUAUUAAUUAAAAUUUUUAUAUAAAGUGGAUUUGAGGGUAAUAUAUUUAAGUUAAAGUGUAUGAUUCGAGCUCUAUAAUAUGUACAUAUCGCCCGUCGCUUCCAUUGAAAAAAAAUUUGGAAUAAGUCGUAACAUAGUGGGUGUACCGGAAGGUGUACCUGGGAUGAU